UUUGGCUAUUUGGGGAUUCCUUUGAGAUUCCCUAUGAAUUUGGGAUGAAUUUUUCUAUUUCUGCAAAAAAAGGUCAUUGGGAUUUU